rnacentral:rRNA from 1 species
ACCUGGUUGAAUCCCUGCCAGUAG